ACCCAAUCCUGACACAGGGAGGUAGUGACAAAAAAUACCAAUACAGGGCAUUACAUGUCUUGUAAUUGGAAUGAGAACAAUUUAAAUCCCUUAUCGAGGAUCCAUUGGAGGGCAAGUCUGGUGCCAGCAGCCGCGGUAAUUCCAACUCCAAUAGCGUAUAUUAAAGUUGUUGCAGUUAAAAAGCUCGUAGUCGGAUUUUGGCAUCACGCCGUACUGUCUGCCGAUUGGUAUGCACGGUUUGGCGGGUGCUUCCUUCCGGAGGCUCGUUCCCUCCUUAACUGAAGGGUUCGUUGGUUCCGGUUCUUUUACUUUGAGAAAAUUAAAGUGUUCAAAGCAGGCCUAUGCUCUGAAUAGGUUAGCAUGGAAUAAUAGAAUAGGACUUUGGUUCUAUUUUGUUGGUUUCUAGGACCGAAGUAAUGAUUAAUAGGGACAGUUGGGGGCAUUCAUAUUCCAUUGUCAGAGGUGAAAUUCUUGGAUUAACGGAAGAUGAACUUCUGCGAAAGCAUCUGCCAAGGAUGUUUUCAUUGAUCAAGGACGAAAGUUAGGGGAUCGAAGACGAUCAGAUACCGUCGUAGUCUUAACCAUAAACUAUGCCGACUAGGGAUGUGGAGGUGUUAACUUUGUACGACCCUCCAUGCACCUUAUGAGAAAUCAAAGUCUAUGGGUUCCGGGGGGAGUAUGGUCGCAAGGCUGAAACUUAAAGGAAUUGACGGAAGGGCACCACCAGGAG
rnacentral:rRNA from 1 species